UCUUUUGAAACAUUAUCCCAAUAUGCCCCAGAUAUGCAGUCAAGAGGGAUAAGGAAAGAGGUCUACGCAUACCUGUUUAUUCAUCAUGGCAAUCUGUCUGCAGCAGGGUAAAAAUGAAGAGGAAGCCAGCAACAAUCACUGAGAUGAUCGCCCAUGGAGGGGUGAAUUCAUUGCGAAAAAUUGCCAGAAACCUAGGACACCUGCGGUGGCAAUACUCAUUCACUUGCUUACUAAGCUCAAGAUAGUAGUAAUCCUUGAC
rnacentral:misc_RNA from 1 species